rnacentral:sRNA from 1 species
AUAUCUCUCUGUACGGGAAGGAUGAGAAGCUUCGACCAAGGUUCGAUUCGAGCGCAGCGAGAAAGCGUUGCCGCAGGCAACGACCCGAAGGGCGAAGCGCGCAGCGCUGAGUCAUCCUUCCCC